GCGGUCCUUCGGGACAGCGGCGAACGGGUUAGUAACGCGUGGGAACGUGCCCUUUAGUACGGAAUAGCCAUUGGAAACGAUGAUUAAUACCGUAUACGCCCCAAGGGGGAAAGAUUUAUCGCUAAAGGAUCGGCCCGCGUUAGAUUAGGUAGUUGGUAGGGUAAUGGCCUACCAAGCCGACGAUCUAUAGCUGGUUUGAGAGGAUGAUCAGCAACACUGGGACUGAGACACGGCCCAGACUUCUACGGAAGGCAGCAGUAGGGAAUCUUGGACAAUGGGCGAAAGCCUGACCCAGCCAUGCCGCGUGAGUGAUGAAGGCCCUAGGGUUGUAAAGCUCUUUCGCCAGGGAAGAUAAUGACGGUACCUGGUAAAGAAACCCCGGCUAACUCCGUGCCAGCAGCCGCGGUAAUACGGAGGGGGUUAGCGUUGUUCGGAAUUACUGGGCGUAAGGCGCGCGUAGGCGGAUUGGAAAGUUGGGGGUGAAAUCCCGGGGCUCAACCCCGGAACUGCCUUCAAAACUCCCAGUCUAGAGUUCGAGAGAGGUGAGUGGAAUUCCGAGUGUAGAGGUGAAAUUCGUAGAUAUUCGGAAGAACACCAGUGGCGAAGGCGGCUCACUGGCUCGAUACAGACGCUGAGGUGCGAAAGUGUGGGGAGCAAACAGGAUUAGAUA
rnacentral:rRNA from 1 species